AUUUCGGGCGUGGUCGAAUUGUUGGCCGUGGCCUUGUAAUUCAACUGGGGCUGAACUCAUCGCGGCCUGAAUUUUAGUUUGAGUUAGGCGUACUUACUUGAUUGGCGAGGGUGUUUACCUUGUCCCUUUGCUUGUAGGGGAAUAGAUUUUGUAUCGUCCAACGGUAAAACACUUGGCCUGAGGCUUGGCUUAUUCUGUAGUUGAACUUUUGUGCGAGGUCGCGUGUCUUGCGUUGUUGUUUGACUGUAGCUAAACCUUUGCGAGUUUGUUGUUGAAGACGCGCAUCCUGGGUCCCAGUUCAACUCAUAGUUGAACUUUUUGGGCAGGGGCACGUAGUCUGAACUGUUGUUCAACCGUGGU
rnacentral:lncRNA from 1 species